GUAAAGAUCAGAUGAUAACAAAAUUAAUAUAAGUAAACAAGAAAUUAGGUCAAAGAACGACUAACAGAAUAUAACAAUUUUAGAACGAUUAGCAAAAAUAGUAUGAAAUUUCAAGGGAAUAAAAAGAACUUCACUGGAUAUCGUGUUUUCCAUUUAACAAUUUCGAAAGAGUCGUAUACGUGAAUUUGGUGAUUCUAUUCAAAGGAGAAAGUGAUGUUCUCAAAAAAAAAGAGCGAUUCCAUAAUCAACGACCAUAGUAUGUAGGACGAAAUCGGAACCAAAUUUAAAUAAAAAUCAACGCUUUUCAUCUGCGGCCACGUCCACCACGUCCACCCAUGCGUCCACCACCGCGGCCGCCGAAACCACCGUGAGGACCAUGAAGUGGGCCAUGAUGGCCACCACCGAUUCUUGGACCAAACAAAGGGCCUCUGGGAGGAGGAGGGGCGUAGUAAGCACGGUGACCACGAAGAACACUGCCGGCUAAAGCUCCAACCAUGAAACCUCCUAAUCCAGCCGUCAUAGACCGUGAGCCGUCAGAAGAGCGAGGCACGUCCUUUUGAUAGACGACGGUAGUGGUACCGGGAGGAGGAGGAAUAUGCAAGCCUGGAAUAGGAGGCUCCCACUGUGGUUGA